rnacentral:rRNA from 1 species
UACGUAGGAGGCGAGCGUUAUCCGGAAUUACUGGGCGUAAAGGGUCUGCAGGUGGCACUGUAAGUCAGAUGUGAAAGCUCCCGGCUCAACCGGGAGCGUGCAUCUGAUACUGCAGUACUUGAGUGAUAGAGGGGAAAGCGGAAUUCCUAGUGUAGCGGUAAAAUGCGUAGAUAUUAGGAAGAACACCAGUGGCGAAGGCGGCUUUCUGGCUAUUUACUGACGCUGAGGCGCGGAAGCGUGGGGAGCAAACAGG